rnacentral:tRNA from 1 species
CCCUGGUGGUUCAAAUGGUAAAGAAUCUGCCUGCAAUGCAGGAGACCUGGGUUUGAUCCCCAGUUCAGGAA